rnacentral:snoRNA from 1 species
CAUCUCCAUUGAUGACUUGCACUGGGCUCCGAAUCUGUAUGAAGGCAACUGUGCAUCUUUGGCCCUGACAAGCCAGAGUUUCUGAGGAGAAA